CGGAUGGAGGUGAUGGGAGUGAAAAUAGCCGCUGUGGCAGACUUGAAGAAAUCGCAUCAGUCCAUCUCGCCAGGACAGCGAAUCCUGCAGUUUUGCAAUCAAGAGGGCGAAGGAAAAAAAUGUGGUCAUAUUGUCCCUCCUGAAGCUGACCUUUGUGACUCCAUGAAGAUCAUUUCCAUCAGAUGCUGUCGCGGCUAGUUUUGAACUGAAGAUAGAAGACUUCAAGUUCCACUGAUUAAUGACCGCUCAGCUCACGGUCACGGCCGCGCUGUCCUGCCUGCCUCGGUGAACAUUCAACGCUGUCGGUGAGUUUGGUAUGGAUCACAUAAAAACCAUCGACCGUUGACUGUGCCCCGCGGCUCGCUCCAACAACGUCUGGAAUGAGGCAAAAAUGAACAAAAGGCCAAGUGGAUGCAUGCAAAUCCAAAGACGAAGACACGCACACAUGCACAGAAAUGACACUCUGUUUCCACUGUACCCAAAGACCAAAGGUCACAAUCAACAUUCAUUGCUGUCGCUGGGUUGGACUGUGUAGAAAAGCUCACUGAACAAUGAGUGCAACUGUGGCCCAGAUCUGCCUGACUCGCGUCUCAGCCAAUCAGCCGACCGGAUGUGAAACACUCUGAUUUCUUUAUUUAUAUACUUCUUGUUUUUCACUUCUAUUUUCUCCUCUCUUCCUCCCUCCCCGGCGCUGGGAGUCUUCAGGGGAAGAGAGAAAAAGAGAGGGAGAGGGAGAUAGAGACACAAAUAGACUUCUGGCUGCUUGCUUGUCCUCAUCCUCCUCUCCUCUCCUCUAAUUGGUGGUUAUGUGUGCAGCAAGGGGGAAGGAAGCGGAGUGAAUGUGUAAUCAUUUGGAGUCUCUUCUCCUUUAGAUGUUUCAUCCCUCUCUUUUUUGUUUGUCUAAUUAUAUACUGAGCUCAGUUAACUCUGUGUUAACUGUGCUUUGGUGCUGGCAAGAAUCAGCUCCUAACAAAGAGAAGCAGGACAAGGGAAGUUUAAAAAAAAAAGGUUAGAAAGAUUUUUCCACCAGAAAAAUUGUUAUCUGGUUUUUAGUGUAUUUUGUAUAAUCUUAUUGCUGGUACUGCUGCAAAUGUGCCAGGAUAUAAGCAAUUUGCAAAUGCAGAAGAAAGAUUGUUUUCACCUUUCUGACUGAGGAUGUCUCAUUAUCUGUGUUUGAGUUUCAUGAGAGACUGUCUGGUUUCCUGCAUGCCUCUGUGUGUGUGUGCGCACGUAUGCUAUGAUCGAGGGCCUGUCUGCUGAGCUCAGAGUGCAAUAUGUUAUUUUGGUUCUAUACUAAAGUCUGCUUCCUCAUGGGAAAACGCAGUCUAUAACCUUGUCUUCCUUCAGACAGUCUGGGACUGGCCACGCUACUGCCAUUGUACUCUCCUGUAACAACUCUCCGACGCUGUAUCAGUAAUUCAUGUAUUUUAAACACACAGCUCACACACUUGUUAUAUAUUUAGGGAUGUCUUGUACGUUCUCAUGAAGUGCCGACGUUUUGCUGUAAGUUUUUAUGAUUGAUUCAUUCAUUAAUUCAAUAAAGUUAAAUCACAGCUCCUGCA